UCCCAAUACUGUUACCAUCUCUAUGAGCUUCCUAUCCCUUCCUUUCCCAUCUAAUACUUCUCUUACUCUCUCACAUAAAAACAGCUUAAAGAAAUAUGCAGAUUAUAUAUUCUUCCUGGAGAUCUCUCUAGGAUUGUUGUUAAUUCCAUUUUAUCAUGCAAUUUUCCCCCCAUUUCCCCGCUAUUUUUCUACUUAUUUGACAGAGUAUUGAAAUAUGUUUCUAUGAGGUUAUUUAAUUAUAUAUUUUAAUCCAUUUCUUGGUGUACUAAUUUAGCUUAUCCUACAUAUGCUGGAACCUGUGGAAAAAAUCAUAUCUAAAAACCCAAGAAGAAAGGAAGGAGAGGGGAAAAAAAGAAUUUGGAGUCUUAAUUUUUUUUUUUUUGGUUUUAUCUGGUAUUUAUAUUUGUUAAUUUUCUCCCUACCAAUCUUUUUGUGGAGCAAGAAUUAUUAACCUUCCAAAGAUAUAAGGUUUUUUUUAUGUUUGAUUUUUUCUUUUUGAAAUUAAUGAAAUAUCUGGUGGCCAAAUGGUCCAUGAUUGUAGCUAGAGUUGUUACUCCAUUGUUCCAAGAUAUGGAUGUACUUAGAUUUCCCCCCCUAUAAAUAUGUCUAUGUAAAGCAUUUAUAAUAACCAUUUUUAAUGGUUGAACGAUAGGGUUUCUGGUCCACUUGAAGACAUCCAUAAAAUUGGACCGAUAUAGAGAAAAUAGGGUUUCUGGUCGAUGGAUGACAAUCAACGCAGUCGUUGUUUGCAGAUGUAGUAUCAUCAAGAUUCACAUAUUGUAAAGGCAUGGUGAUUAAUGAAGAAAAAUUAACGACCAUGGCUUUUUUGGAGGUGAGAAUCUUGAUGAUGCUGCAUCAGCAAUAAACGACUACCUAACUUACUGGAGCUGAGGUUACUAAACGAGCUAUGAAUUCAAUAGAAAGUUCAGAACUCAUAAAUGUCAAUCUUGGUUGUGCCUCUCCUAACCGGAGUACUUUCUUUUAAGGCUGUCACUCUAAGCAAAAGGAGAAAUUCGGACCCCAGAAGUAUAGUACGGUUUGUUCAGUUUUUGUGUAGAUAUAUGGAUUUUGCCUUGUUUUAUUUUUACUGUAUUUCAGUUCAGUACUGAAUCAAUGUUCUUGUCAGGUCGAUCUGUUUUUUAUUUUUAUUUUUCAUAAUUUAACAGGUGAAUUUGGUUUUUUGUUUUAUUUUGAGACUGCUCACUGCUCUUUAUGAAAUGAGGACUGUGUAGAUCUGUGAUUAUUCUCUCCUGGCAAAUGAAGUUCUCAUUUAUUAAAUGGUAUCUCAGCCUGAUAGAUCAGAAGUUGUCUUUUCAUCUCUCUCUCACUCACACACAUAGUGCAUGCUCUUUUUCUUGAUGUAGUUGAUUGAGUUAUAGAAAUAUUACCAUCAUAUUAUUCGGUUCGAUUUGUUUUUUUUUUUCUGUUUAUUUAGAAAAAUAAAAACCUACCCUAGCAAAUUAUUCAAUAUUGUUGGAGAUUUUUAUCAAAACCUUAGAUUUUUUUGAAGAAAAAUCUAAUAUUUGGUUUCAUAAGAUUCGAUUCCGAUUGAUUUAGUCGGUUUUCGAAGAACUUUUGACACCCUAUCUUUAAACCUGAUAUAUUUUAGGUCUUCCCAAGGAAAAGAGUCAAAGGAGACCAACAAGGGUUGUGGUGGACAGUUUCGGUUUGAGCCUUGUGUAUGGAGUCGCUGGACUCCUUCUCCUAAAUCAUAUGUCUUGGGUUUGAGACUUUGACCCCUGGGUAUGGAGUCGCCUUUGGUAGGGAACGCUUUAGCUCCCAAUGUGGAUUUUUCAGCACGAAUCCGGAUUUGAUCCGCCCUAAUACAAGUACUGAACAUUGGUGGGAAACCCAAAAAAAAAAAGGAGCUAAGGGAGAGUUGGAGAAACCUAAAGAAAACUGAGAAGAAGAGGGCGUGGACCAAACGAGCAUGCAUAUUUGGAAAUCCUGUGAGAAACUCAUCUAAAAACUGAUUUUAGAAUUAAAUUGAACUUAAUCAACUUGUUACCAGAAUAUUUUCUAUAUUUUCUCAAUUACCAGAAUAUUUGGAAAUUAUUCAAUUACCUGAAGUUUUCUAUCUUUUUUAUUUUGACAUGGCUAACUUGAUAUUACAAUGCCGGCCAUAUUUCUGUUUUGUGGUUUGUAUAUGCAGAUUAAAGUAGGUAAUGUGCCUCUAUAACUGAGUAUAGAAUCCUGAUAUCCUUAAAUUUUUAAAAGCCCUUUCUCUUUCCUUUUCUAAUUGUUUUCCUCCUUUAGUGUUUUGCUAUACAUUUUAAUGUAUAUUGGUGAUGUACCUAGUUAAUUACGAUCAAUGGCGUACGCAAGAUUUUGUAGCGAUGUUA